rnacentral:tRNA from 1 species
CGUUAUAGCUCAGUUGGUAGAGCACUUGAUUCGUAAUCAAGCGGUCAACAGUUCGAUUCUGUUUAAC